UCUUUUUUUCCUUUGAGCGGCAAAUUAUUUCUUCUUCCUACGCUCUUUAUGUUUUUGAAACCGCCAGAAUUUUAGAAACUAAUCAAUUCUCUCAAUCAAUUGAAAUCAUUAUCCACCCAAACCCUAAAUCAUUCUUUCAACGGUUUCUCUUCAAAUCUUCAGAAACCCUAAUACAUUAUUUCCUAAAUGGUAUGGGAUGAAUACUCUCAAGUUUAAUGUCUAUCAACGUGAAUAAAAGAUUGUUGCUUCAAACACAGGUUUUUUUGAGUAUGUUUCUUCAACCCUAGAUCAGAUUUCAUUCCUCAUUCAGCCCGCUCACUCAUGUCGUUUAUUCUCUCUGCGAAAAUGUAGAACCGCCAUCGGUUACGUCCCUAAUCGGACUCGAACGCCAAAUAAUCGCCUUUUUCAGCCUAAUUGGACUCCAGCCGUCGUCCGCCGCUGGCCGCCGUCGUUGUUAUACAUUUGCAGUUGCCGCUUAGCGGCUCCAUCUUUAUAGGUGAAAUACGGAACUUUUGUUUUGGAGAUCAAAGGCUCAGUACCAUUUUUUUGCACUUGGAAGUAAUGCCAGGGCAUCUGAUUUUACAAGGAUAAUAUCAACAUUGUAGAUUUGUGAGGAUGGCGCCAAGACCAUGUCUACACGUGAAAGGAAGGUAUUUAAUGAAAUUCGCAGGCAACCUUCAUAACUUCCAAUGCCAAUGCUCUGACUACCCGCACCUAUGUCUGUUGUAGAUAUAUUUCUCCUUAAUAAUCACAAGAAGAUGAAUGCUUAUAAAAGUCCAAUGGUACUCAGGGUCGUUCUGAUGUUGCUUCUAUUGUUGAUGUAUGUUCUAUAAUAGGGAUAAGCAUUUGGUCCCGGGUACUGGUACCGAACCGAACCGGUAUAUUCGGUACCGGUACUGGUACCCAUUUUCUCCAUUUUUCGGUACUGGUACCGGUACGUACGGGUAACACACUGGUAAAUACCGGUACCGUACCGGUACCGGUACUGAACCGGUGUAUUCGGUACCGUUACUGAUACCACUUUUCUCCGUUUUUGAUACCGGUAUUUUCGGUACCGAACGGGUACCAUGCUCAUCC